CUGCCUUGUACAGGGGGAUAACAGUUGGAAACGACUGCUAAUACCGCAUAAGCGCACAGUAUCGCAUGAUACAGUGUGAAAAACUCCGGUGGUACAAGAUGGACCCGCGUCUGAUUAGCUAGUUGGAGGGGUAACGGCCCACCAAGGCAACGAUCAGUAGCCGACUUGAGAGAGUGAUCGGCCACAUUGGGACUGAGACACGGCCCAAACUCCUACGGGAGGCAGCAGUAGGGAAUAUUGCACAAUGGGGGAAACCCUGAUGCAGCGACGCCGCGUGAAGGAUGAAGUAUUUCGGUAUGUAAACUUCUAUCAGCAAGGAAGAAAAUGACGGUACUUGACUAAGAAGCCCCGGCUAAAUACGUGCCAGCAGCCGCGGUAAUACGUAUGGGGCAAGCGUUAUCCGGAUUUACUGGGUGUAAAGGGAGCGUAGGCGGUACGGCAAGUCAGAAGUGAAAGCCUGGGGCUCAACCCCGGAAUUGCUUUUGAAACUGUCGAACUAGAGUGUCGGAGGGGUAAGCGGAAUUCCUAGUGUAGCGGUGAAAUGCGUAGAUAUUAGGAGGAACACCGGUGGCGAAGGCGGCUUACUGGACGACCACUGACGCUGAGGCUCGAAAGCGUGGGGAGCAAACAGGAUUAGAUACCCUGGGUAGUCCACGCCGUAAACGAUGAAUA
rnacentral:rRNA from 1 species